rnacentral:rRNA from 1 species
ACUCAAAGGAAUUGACGGGGGCUCGCACAAGCGGUGGAGCAUGUGGUUUAAUUCGACGCAACGCGAAAAACCUUACCCGCUUUUGACAUAGAGGUUAUCGGUCCAAGAGAUUGGAUCUUCGGUUCGGCCGGACCUCAUACAGGUGCUGCAUGGCUGUCGUCAGCUCGUGUCGUGAGAUGUUGGGUUAAGUCCCGCAACGAGCGCAACCCUCGUCUGUAGUUACCAGCACGUAAUGGUGGGCACUCUACAGAGACUGCCGUUGAUAAGACGGAGGAAGGUGGGGAUGAUGUCAAGUCCUCAUGGCCCUUAUAAGCGGGGCUACACAUGUGCUACAAUGGCGGUGACAAUGAGAUGCGAAGGGGCGACCCGGAGCAAACCUCUAAAAAACCGUCUCAGUUCGGAUUGCACUCUGCAACUCGAGUGCAUGAAGUUGGAAUCGCUAGUAAUCGCGGAUCAGCACGCCGCGGUGAAUACGUUCUCGGGCCUUGUACACACCGCCCGU